GGAGCCCGGACACGAGGUCUGAAUAAGUAUGAAUCAUAGUUCAAAUAUUUCUUAAUCUAUUUUGUGUUCCAAAUAUUAGAAUAAAUAUCUGACGAAGUAGAACCAUCUCUAUCAAGAUGAUAGACCCAUUCUCUGUACUAUCAAUAGGAUCAAUUAUAACAAGUCACACACUCAUACUCCGGAAAUACAGAAACAAAGGAAUUCCACGAUCGAACUACCAAAAUAAAAUAGAAUGGACUAGAAAUCGGAGCUCUAAAUGAUUUGGAGCUCGAGUAGAAAGUAUUAAUUUAUUUAUCGGGGCAAGAGUCUAGGGUUAAUGCCAAUCAAUAAAAAAAUUGGAACAACUUCGUAAAUGUAUUUUCGGUAUGGAAAUCGAAAGAAUCCAAUUCGNNN
rnacentral:lncRNA from 1 species